rnacentral:rRNA from 1 species
GACGAACGCUGGCGGCGUGCUUAACACAUGCAAGUCGAACGGAAAGGCCCUGCUUGCAGGGUACUCGAGUGGCGAACGGGUGAGUAACACGUGGGUGAUCUGCCCUGCACUUCGGGAUAAGCUUGGGAAACUGGGUCUAAUACCGGAUAGGAGCCAUCUUUAGUGUGGUGGUUGGAAAGUUUUUUCGGUGUAGGAUGAGCUCGCGGCCUAUCAGCUUGUUGGUGGGGUAAUGGCCUACCAAGGCGGCGACGGGUAGCCGGCCUGAGAGGGUGACCGGCCACAUUGGGACUGAGAUACGGCCCAGACUCCUACGGGAGGCAGCAGUGGGGAAUAUUGCACAAUGGGCGGAAGCCUGAUGCAGCAACGCCGCGUGCGGGAUGACGGCCUUCGGGUUGUAAACCGCUUUCGCCUGUGACGAAGCGUGAGUGACGGUAAUGGGUAAAGAAGCACCGGCUAACUACGUG